rnacentral:rRNA from 1 species
ACCUGCCCCUGACUCUGGGAUAACAGCCGGAAACGGUUGCUAAUACCGGAUAUGCAUCAUGGCCGCAUGGUCUGUGGUGGGAAAGAUUUUUCGGUUGGGGAUGGGCUCGCGGCCUAUCAGCUUGUUGGUGAGGUAGUGGCUCACCAAGGCGUCGACGGGUAGCCGGCCUGAGAGGGUGACCGGCCACACUGGGACUGAGACACGGCCCAGACUCCUACGGGAGGCAGCAGUGGGGAAUAUUGCACAAUGGGCGGAAGCCUGAUGCAGCAACGCCGCGUGAGGGAUGACGGCCUUCGGGUUGUAAACCUCUUUUAGCAGGGAAGAAGCGUAAGUGACGGUACCUGCAGAAAAAGCGCCGGCUAACUACGUGCCAGCAGCCGCGGUAAUACGUAGGGCGCAAGCGUUAUCCGGAAUUAUUGGGCGUAAAGAGCUCGUAGGCGGUUUGUCGCGUCUGCUGUGAAAACCCGAGGCUCAACCUCGGGCCUGCAGUGGGUACGGGCA